rnacentral:lncRNA from 1 species
GAAGAUAACGUCAUUGAAGUGACGGAAGCAGAUCUAAAGGACGACCAAAGAGAAGAUCUGAAUCAGUAUUUGGAGCAAGUCCGGAAAACUUGCUUGAAAUCCUUCAGUCGUUCCAGGAGCGGGGAAACUGUUAAAAAGUCUCCUUUCCCUACUCCCCGCCAGAUCACAAUUUCAGAAGAUUCGGAUAAAAUGUCCGAUAUGAUUCAACAAUCUCUUCAUCACGCCUUCAUCAACCAAUCCCCG